rnacentral:rRNA from 1 species
UACGGAGGGUGCAAGCGUUAUCCGGAUUUACUGGGUUUAAAGGGUGCGUAGGUGGGUCUGUAAGUCAGUGGUGAAAUCUCCGAGCUUAACUCGGAAACUGCCAUUGAUACUAUAGGUCUUGAAUUAUCUGGAGGUGAGCGGAAUAUGUCAUGUAGCGGUGAAAUGCUUAGAUAUGACAUAGAACACCAAUUGCGAAGGCAGCUCACUACGGAUAUAUUGACACUGAGCACGAAAGCGUGGGGAUCAAACAGG